UGGGGAAUUUUGGACAAUGGGCGAAAGCCUGAUCCAGCAAUGCCGCGUGUGUGAAGAAGGCCUUCGGGUUGUAAAGCACUUUUGUCCGGAAAGAAAUCCUUGGCUCUAAUACAGUCGGGGGAUGACGGUACCGGAAGAAUAAGCACCGGCUAACUACGUGCCAGCAGCCGCGGUAAUACGUAGGGUGCAAGCGUUAAUCGGAAUUACUGGGCGUAAAGCGUGCGCAGGCGGUUUGCUAAGACCGAUGUGAAAUCCCCGGGCUCAACCUGGGAACUGCAUUGGUGACUGGCAGGCUAGAGUAUGGCAGAGGGGGGUAGAAUUCCACGUGUAGCAGUGAAAUGCGUAGAGAUGUGGAGGAAUACCGAUGGCGAAGGCAGCCCCCUGGGCCAAUACUGACGCUCAUGCACGAAAGCGUGGGGAGCAAACAGGAUUAGAUACCCUGGUAGUCCACGCCCUAAACGAUGUCAACUAGUUGUUGGGGAUUCAUUUCCUAGUAACGUAGCUAACGCGUGAAGUUGACCGCCUGGGGAGUACGGUCGCAAGAUUAAAACUUAAAUGAAUUGACGGGGUCAUAGCUGUUU
rnacentral:rRNA from 1 species